AGCAGCCGCGGUAAUUCCAGCUCCAAUAGCGUAUAUUAAAGUUGUUGCAGUUAAAAAGCUCGUAGUUGAAUUUCGGGAUCAUCAGGUUGGUCGUGCCUUCGGUAUGUAUUUGCUUCGGUGGUCCCUCCUUCUUGAAGAACCGUAAUGACAUUAAUUUGUUGUUGCGGGGAAACAGGACUGUUACUUUGAAAAAAUUAGAGUGUUUAAAGCAGGCAAUCGCUUGAAUACAUUAGCAUGGAAUAAUGAAAUAGGACGUUCGAUCCUAUUUUGUUGGUUUCUAGGAUUGACGUAAUGAUUAAUAGGGAUAGUUGGGGGCAUUAGUAUUCAAUUGUCAGAGGUGAAAUUCUUGGAUUUAUUGAAGACUAACUACUGCGAAAGCAUUUGCCAAGGAUGUUUUCAUUAAUCAAGAACGAAAGUUAGGGGAUCGAAGACGAUCAGAUACCGUCGUAGUCUUAACCAUAAACUAUGCCGACUAGGGAUCGGAUGAUGUUAAUUUUUAAUGACUCAUUCGGCGCCUUAC
rnacentral:rRNA from 1 species